rnacentral:rRNA from 1 species
AACGAACGCUGGCGGCAGGCCUAACACAUGCAAGUCGAGCGGACCCUUCGGGGUUAGCGGCGGACGGGUGAGUAACGCGUGGGAACGUGCCCUUUGCUUCGGAAUAGCCCUGGGAAACUGGGAGUAAUACCGGAUACGCCCUUUUGGGGAAAGAUUUAUCGGCGAAGGAUCGGCCCGCGUUGGAUUAGGUAGUUGGUGGGGUAAUGGCCUACCAAGCCGACGAUCCAUAGCUGGUUUGAGAGGAUGAUCAGCCACACUGGGACUGAGACACGGCCCAGACUCCUACGGGAGGCAACAGUGGGGAAUCUUAGACAAUGGGGGAAACCCUGAUCUAGCCAUGCCGCGUGAGCGAUGAAGGCCUUAGGGUUGUAAAGCUCUUUCACCGGGGAAGAUAAUGACGGUACCCGGAGAAGAAGCCCCGGCUAACUCCGUG